CCUACGGGUGGCAGCAGUGAGGAAUAUUGGUCAAUGGGCUUACGCCUGAACCAGCCAAGUCGCGUGAGGGAAGACUGCCCUAUGGGUUGUAAACCUCUUUUGUCAGGGAGCAACGCCGGCUACGUGUAGCCGGACUGAGAGUACCUGAAGAAAAAGCAUCGACGAAACCCGUGCCAGCACCCGCGGUAAUACGGGGGAUGCGAGCGUUAUCGGGAUUUAUUGGGUUAAAGGGGUUCGUAGGCGGCAUGCCAAGUCAGCGGUAAAAUCGGGGGGCUCAACCUCGAUCCGCCGUUGAAACUGGCGGUCUUGAGUGGGCGAGAGGUAUGCGGAAUGCGUGGUGUAGCGGUGAAAUGCAUAGAUAUCACGCAGAACCCCGAUUGCGAAGGCAGCAUACCGGCGCCCAACUGACGCUGAAGCACGAAAGCGUGGGUAUCGAACAGGAUUAGAUACCCCAGUAGUC
rnacentral:rRNA from 1 species